rnacentral:rRNA from 1 species
UAACCUGCCCUUAACUCUGGGAUAAGCCUGGGAAACUGGGUCUAAUACCGGAUAUGACUCCUCAUCGCAUGGUGGGGGGUGGAAAGCUUUUUUGUGGUUUUGGAUGGACUCGCGGCCUAUCAGCUUGUUGGUGAGGUAAUGGCUCACCAAGGCGACGACGGGUAGCCGGCCUGAGAGGGUGACCGGCCACACUGGGACUGAGACACGGCCCAGACUCCUACGGGAGGCAGCAGUGGGGAAUAUUGCACAAUGGGCGAAAGCCUGAUGCAGCGACGCCGCGUGAGGGAUGACGGCCUUCGGGUUGUAAACCUCUUUCAGUAGGGAAGAAGCGUAAGUGACGGUACCUGCAGAAGAAGCGCCGGCUAACUACGUGCCAGCAGCCGCGGUAAUACGUAGGGCGCAAGCGUUAUCCGGAAUUAUUGGGCGUAAAGAGCUCGUAGGCGGUUUGUCGCGUCUGCCGUGAAAGUCCGGGGCUCAACUCCGGAUCUGCGGUGGGUACGGGCAGACUAGAGUGAUGUAGGGGAGACUGGAAUUCCUGGUGUAGCGGUGAAAUGCGCAGAUAUCAGGAGGAACACCGAUGGCGAAGGCAGGUCUCUGGGCAUUAACUGACGCUGAGGAGCGAAAGCAUGGGGAGCGAACAGGAUUAGAUACCCUGGUAGUCCAUGCCGUAAACGUUGGGCACUAGGUGUGGGGGACAUUCCACGUUUUCCGCGCCGUAACUAACGCAUUAAGUGCCCCGCCUGGGGAGUACGGCCGC